CUAAUGCUAGAGAAUGUUGAAAUAUCGUUUCCUUCCUUUUGAACUCAAUGAUGGCCACCUCCACUAACAGAACACAGACUCUAAAUGCAGGAGAACAAAAAAUUCAGGAAUAUGAAAGUAUAGAAUAUCGGGAAUAGCAGCUCUAGACACCGAAACAAGAUGACAAUACCCUUUAGACUAUUGCACUAUAGGUUGGCAAUGGCAAC
rnacentral:lncRNA from 1 species